rnacentral:misc_RNA from 1 species
CGAGAAAAAAAAACCCGCUAAUACUACUAGGAAUAUGUUUAACUUCCUGCUAAUCCUGUUAAGUUCCUGCUAAUACGGCUAAUCCUGGUGAGUUUUCGCUUAAUACGGCUAAACCUAUUAAGUUUCCCAUUAGUGAAAUGACGUUUAUGAAUUUCCUGCUAAUCCUAGUAAGUUCCUACUAAGUACUUAUCAGGAUUAAACGAAUUACUUAGUAAGUUCCUAGUAAGUUUUCAAAAAUAAAACAAGUAUAAAAAAUCGUCUUUGUUAUACGCCAUCUUUUACUUAUUCACACGGAAAACAAGUCAGCCAUAAAACAGCUUUUUUAGAUUCAAUAGUUUUACUAAUUAAUAUUUGUAAUUCUAUAAGGAAAAAGCUCAAGAACAUCUAAAGAUGAUUGCGUGGUUUGCAGUUUAUUUGAUGAAUAUUUGUUAAUGUGUUAUAAUAUGGUUUUAAAUGUUAAUUUUAACUCUAUAUAAAUUCGAGCAUUUUCUGUUGUAUCAAUUCGAGCAUUUUCUGAUUCAUAGUGAUAUUUCCAUCUCAAACCAUUUACAAUCAAUUAGCUUCAGGAUUCUGUUUGCAAUCAAUUAAUUAAUGAAACAUAAAACUUAAUUCAUAAUGGCGACAAGAGUUUGUUGUUUACAAUGAUCUAAAUCAGAUUUCUUAACAGAUUAUAAUAGCUUUGAAACAAUGAUAAUGAAAGUUUUUUCAUCGUUCUAAAUUUAUGCUACAGUUAUGGUCGUAAAAGAUUAAGAAAAAUCUUAUGGGUGCAAUUAUUCCACUGACACCUGCGAAAAUUACCAAAAGAACUGACCAUCGCUGUUUAUUGUAUUUUUUUAAAAUGUUCUAUUUAAACAAUCUAACACUUAA